UGGUAUCCUGUCUGAAUAUGGGGGGACCAUCCUCCAAGGCUAAAUACUCCUGACUGACCGAUAGUGAACCAGUACCGUGAGGGAAAGGCGAAAAGAACCCCGGCGAGGGGAGUGAAAAAGAACCUGAAACCGUGUACGUACAAGCAGUGGGAGCACGCUUAGGCGUGUGACUGCGUACCUUUUGUAUAAUGGGUCAGCGACUUAUAUUCUGUAGCAAGGUUAACCGAAUAGGGGAGCCGAAGGGAAACCGAGUCUUAACUGGGCGUUAAGUUGCAGGGUAUAGACCCGAAACCCGGUGAUCUAGCCAUGGGCAGGUUGAAGGUUGGGUAACACUAACUGGAGGACCGAACCGACUAAUGUUGAAAAAUUAGCGGAUGACUUGUGGCUGGGGGUGAAAGGCCAAUCAAACCGGGAGAUAGCUGGUUCUCCCCGAAAGCUAUUUAGGUAGCGCCUCGUGAAUUCAUCUCCGGGGGUAGAGCACUGUUUCGGCAAGGGGGUCAUCCCGACUUACCAACCCGAUGCAAACUGCGAAUACCGGAGAAUGUUAUCACGGGAGACACACGGCGGGUGCUAACGUCCGUCGUGAAGAGGGAAACAACCCAGACCGCCAGCUAAGGUCCCAAAGUCAUGGUUAAGUGGGAAACGAUGUGGGAAGGCCCAGACAGCCAGGAUGUUGGCUUAGAAGCAGCCAUCAUUUAAAGAAAGCGUAAUAGCUCACUGGUCGAGUCGGCCUGCGCGGAAGAUGUAACGGGGCUAAACCAUGCACCGAAGCUGCGGCAGCGACGCUGAUGCGUUGUUGGGUAGGGGAGCGUUCUGUAAGCCUGUGA
rnacentral:rRNA from 1 species